GGCCCAAUGGUCUAGUGGUAAGAUACUUGCUUUGGGUCAUCUAUCCCAAUGUCCGCCAAACGUAUGUUGGGAUAGAUCGCUUGCAAGGGAUCCCCGGUUCAAUCCCGGGUUGGGCCC